ACUCCUACGGGAGGCAGCAGUGGGGAAUAUUGCACAAUGGGGGAAACCCUGAUGCAGCCAUGCCGCGUGUGUGAAGAAGGCCUUCGGUUGUAAAGCACUUUCAGUAGGGAGGAAGGUAGUGUAGUUAACACCUGCAUUAUUUGACGUUACCUACAGAAGAAGCACCGGCUAACUCCGUGCCAGCAGCCGCGGUAAUACGGAGGGUGCGAGCGUUAAUCGGAAUUACUGGGCGUAAAGCGCAUGCAGGCGGCCUGUUAAGUCAGAUGUGAAAGCCCGGGGCUUAACCUCGGAAUUGCAUUUGAAACUGGCAGGCUAGAGUCUGUAGAGGGGGUAGGAAUUUCAGGUGUAGCGGUG
rnacentral:rRNA from 1 species